UCUAGAACUCGAGAUAUGGGUUGAACACUGAACAGAUUCCGACUUCUCCGUUGUUGCUAAGAUUUGGACUUCCAAACAGCAGGAUUGAGUCUUUCACUCCCAUGAAUGUUUUAGGCUUAUGUCUUAGCUUUCUAGC
rfam:Populus trichocarpa scaffold_16_contig_104, whole genome shotgun sequence.